UACGGAGGGGGCUAGCGUUGUCCGGAAUCAUUGGGCGUAAAGCGCGUGUAGGCGGUCCGGUAAGUCCGCUGUGAAAGUCGGGGGCUCAACCCUCGGAUGCCGGUGGAGUACUGUCGGCUUGAGGUACGGAAGAGGCGAGUGGAAUUCCUGGUGUAGCGGUGAAAUGCGCAGAUAUCAAGGAGGAACACCAAUUGCGAAGGCAGCUCGCUGGGACGUUACUGACGCGUGAGACGCGAAAGCUGGGGAGCAAACAGGAUUAGAGUACCCGU
rnacentral:rRNA from 1 species